rnacentral:lncRNA from 1 species
CUAUAAUAGACAUACACCCAGUGGCCAGUUUAUUAGGUACACCACCCCCUUCAUGAAAAUGGUUCACUCUGAGAGACAGUGAGUCACGUGGCCAAAGCUUGCUAUACAAAGCAGGCAGACAGGCAUCGAAGCAUUCAGUUACUGUUUGAAUCAAAAGUUAGAAUGAGCAAAACUAGUGACGUAAGCGACUUUGAGCGUGGUAUGAUCGUCAGUUCCAGGCACGCUGGUUCCACGACAGUGUCUAAGGUUUACUGAGAAUGAUGCGACAAACAAAAAACCAAUCUGCGGCAGUCCUGUGAGCGAAAAACAGCUUGUUGAUGAGAGGUCGAAGGAGAAUGACAAGAAUCGUGCAAGCUAACAGGCAGGCCACAAACGGCAAAGUUCAACAGUGGUGUGCAGAACGGCAUCUCGAAAUGCACAACUCAUCGGUCUUCGUCAUGGAUGGGCUAUUGCAGCAGACGACCACACUGGGUUCCACUCCUAUCAGCUAAAAGCAAGAAGAAGCGGAACCAAAACUGGACAACUGAGGUGUGGAAAAACAUCCCCAUUCUGCUUGGUGUCAACGAUACAGGCUAGUGGCAGUGGUGUAAUUGUGUGGGGAAUGUUUUGAUACUAAUUGAGCAACAUUUCCAUGCCCCAAAGAAUUCAGGAUGUUCUGGAGGCAAAGGGGGGUCCGAUCCGGUACUAGAUAGGUGUACCUAAUAAACUGGCCACUGCAUGUAGCUGGCAGUUCUCAUUCAAGUCAAGACUGGCAGACAUUGAAGGGUUCCAAAACCCUUCAAUGGAUGAUAUGUCUAUGGCCACAACGCAACGAGCUGUUCUACAGAGAGUAGUGGGAAAAAGGUGCAUUGAUAAGCACACCAAAGACGGUAUUAAAGAUAAGUAAUAAAAUAAACACGACAAUUAUAAAAGCCUAUUUCACACCAUGCUGAAUUUGCAAGAUAACUGUUGUUUGAUUUUGGGACAAAUGAAAAUAUGUCACUGACUCGCCCAUGGAUUAAUGUUUAAGCAUUGUCUCAAUGAAAAGUUUGGCGUUCGACUAGCCAUGAGCGACAUGCACGCACAAUUACAAGCCUGCUAGAGUUAGCGGCAGGCGGACAAGAAAUAUUCUCUGUGUAGUAUGGAUGAAGCCUGACCUGGCCCCCCCAACCAAGCGGCCCCCCUAUUGACAGAGGAGAGAAAAUGUUUCGUUUUAAAAUGUAUUUCAUGCAAUUCUACACAUUUUGCCAUGGGGCGGAGAGAAAUUGUAGAAAUGUCAUAACAAAUUUCAUGCAAUUCUACUUAUUUUGCCAUGGGGCAGAGAUACAUUUUUGCAGUUUAAAGCUAAUUUCCUGCAAUUCUACAUAUUUUGCCAUGAUUUAUGCCAUAUCAAUGAUAUUUGUGUGAGAGUGACCAACAAAAUCAAAUGGGGGCCCACUGGAGGUCAGGGCUCCUGGGUAUGUGUCCUGAGUGCCUGGUCGGUAUUUAGGUAACUGGCUAGACUAAUAUACCAAUCUAAAAAUGGUUAGCUGAAGUGGCUAAUUGAGUGACUGUCAGUGACUGACUAAACAAGAGAACACCUGCUGAUGCACAGCUACAUUUCUAACAUACACCUUGUAUUCUACUAUUCUAACUCUCAACAGUAAAUUGAGACCCUGACCGCUUAUGUCAUUUAUGCCUAGAGCCAGUCCUGCUGACCUGGAAUGUGAAGCUAACUGAAGCUGGCUAGCUUUCUAAAAGCCUGAGUAGAUGUAGCUUGAUUCGUAGUAUACCACUCAGGUUCUUUACUGUCCAGAUGAGCAUUCAAUGAGCUUUAUGUUCCAAAUCGGAAUCCUUGCUCACUCAUGAGCUUGAAUGGCCUGUAUUCUCCAGUUGUCUCCAAAUAAAACAGAAAUAUAUGGAUAAUAAAACUUGAAUCACCCAUAUAUUCGUUUAAUUCCUUUAUAUAUUUUCUCUUGCUGUGUUUUAUUCAUCCCCAAGGUGGUGAUGUUAAUGAGAAUAAGAAAAGAAGAGUUAAAUAAAUAAAUCUAUUCAUGUAUCCACCUUCUGUUUUGUCUGCUCUUCCCUCCAGGCCCAACAAGUGGCACUAUGACAGGUCGUCCUGCCAGUAUGGGUGUGGUCAGAUCAUUGGGGGUAGUUACUACAUGUCAGCUGACGUCAGUCAGUUUGAACCACAGGACAUUGUGGUGAUGGACUACAACCACAACAUAGUCAUCCACGCUGAAAAGGUGUUGGAGAAUGGGAGUGUCAGUGAUACGUUUACCCAUAAGACCCUGCUCUUGGAGCACAUGGACCCCCUGUCGGUCAGUGGCACGCUGACCCGAGGGCAUGCUGGUGGCCAGAGUCAGGAGGACGUCCAGUAUGGAGCUUCUCGCUCUUUGGAGCACGCGCACACGUACAUGCACACAGAGUAUCAGACCGGUCUGAGUAAGUCACACCGAGUUUAGUUUGCUCAGGGAAACUUUCUUCAUAGAGCCGUCUGCACUUUUUUAGCAGCAAUUUAAUCUAUCUGCCUGUCUGAAUAUGAGUCACAGUUAAAAUAUCCCCCCCUUGUAUCCUUCUCACUCUCUGUCGAGCUGGGGAGGAGGACUUUUACUGUGACACCUUAGUGUAUUAUUAAUCAAUAUGAAGUCCACAUUGCCUGGGACAGGAGACGAAACUCAGUGGUUGUGUUGAGAACGUGUACAGCAGUUCAAGCAAGGAAUGGCACCGGCACCACCAACUCCAUCAAUGACUAGCACCUCCACCUCCAUCAAGGACUAGCAACGGCACCACCACCUCCAGCAAGGACUAGCACCACCACCUCCAUCAAGGACUAGGACCACCACCUCCAUCAAGGACUAGCAACGGCACCUCCAUCAAGGACUAGCACCACCACCUCCAUCAAGGACUAGCACCACCAACUCCAUCAAUGACUAGCACCACCACCUCCAUCAAGGACUAGCAACGGCACCACCACCUCCAGAAAGGACUAGGACCACCACCUCUAUCAAGGACUAGCAAUGGCACCACCACCUCCAGCAAGGACUAGCAUCUCCGGCACCACAACCUCCAUCAAGGACUAGCACCACCACCUCCAUCAAGGACUAGCACCACCACCUCCAUCAAGGACUAGCACCGGCACCACAACCUCCAUCAAGGACUAGCACCACAACCUCCAUCAAGGACUAGCAUCGGCACCUCCAAGGACUAGCAGCUCCGGCACCACCACCACCAUCAAGGACUAGCACCACCACCUGCAUCAAGGACUAGGACCACCACCUCCAUCAAGGACUAGGACCACCACCUGCAUCAAGGACUAGCACCACCACCUCCAUCAAGGACUAGCACCACCACCUGCAUCAAGGACUAGCACCACCACCUCCAUCAAGAACUAGCACCACCACCUCCAUCAAAGACUAGCACCACCACCUCCAUCAUGGACUAGCACCGGCACCUCCAUCAAGGACUAGCAGCUCCGGCACCACCACCUCCAUCAAGGACUAGCACCACCACCUCCAUCAUGGACUAGCACCGGCACCUCCAUCAAGGACUAGCACCGGCACCUCCAUCAAGGACUAGCAUCGGCACCUCCAUCAAGGACUAGCAGCUCCGGCACCACCACCUCCAUCAAGGACUAGCACCACCACCUCCAUCAAGGACUAGCACCGGCACCUCCAUCAAGGAUUAGCACCACCACCUCCAUCAAGGACUAGCACCGGCACCACAAACUCCAUCAAGGACUAGCACCACCACCUCCAUCAAGGACUAGCACCACCACCUCCAUCAAGGACUAGCACCACCACCUCCAUCAAGGACUAGCACCGGCACCACCACCUCCAGCAAGGACUAGGACCACCACCUCCAUCAAGGACUAUCACCGGCACCACCACCUCCAGCAAGGACUAGCACCACCACCUCCAUCAAGGACUAGCACCGCCACCUCCAUCAAGGACUAGCACCACCACCUCCAUCAAGGACUAGCACCGCCACCUCCAUCAAGGACUAGCACCACCACCUCCAUCAAGGACUAGCACCACCACCUCCAAGGACUAGCAGCUCCGGCACCACAACCUCCAUCAAGGAUCAGUGGUGUAAAGUACUUAAGACUAGCACCAGCUAGCACCGGCACCACCACCUCCAUCAAGGACUAGCACCCGCUAGCACCGGCACUACCAUCUCCAUCAAGGACUAGCUCCGGCACCUCCAUCAAGGACUAGCACCGGCACCACCACCUCCAUCAAGGACUAGCUCCGGCACCUCCAUCAAGGACUAGCACCGGCACCACCACCUCCAUCAAGGACUAGUCCCGGCACCUCCAUCAAGGACUAGCACCGGCACCACCACCUCCAUCAAGGACUCGCUCCGGCACCUCCAUCAAUGACUAGCAUUGGCACUAACACCUCCAUCAAACAAUACAAACUGC